CUCUAAUUAAUCAGUGCCAUCUAUACCAUAAAUUUGAAUCUACCCUUAUCUGUCAUUAAUAGCGUCUCUUCGUCUUGAUUUGCGAGGGAAAAUUAGUGUUAAUGUCCUCUUCUAGAAGUUUCUCAAUGUUUUAUGUUAAAUUUUCAAUAAUAUUUCCUUAAUUUCGAUUCUUGGAAUCCUGCAGUCUACAUAGAGAUAAGAAUGGCGAAAAAAUAGGUUAACUGCAAAAAUCCCCUCCAGAUUUCCACCCCAAAUUCAACUACAUCUUCUAGAAAUUCUCCUCCAGUAACAAUUAAUAAACGCAUUACUCGUAGUUCCACUAAAAAUAAUAGAGAGUUAAAAAUUAUUCUUAAUAGGCUUCCUGACAUCCAACCUCAACCUUCAUCUUCUAAUAUUCCUAAAGAAUUACGAGUAAUAUUAGAACCCCUUAAUUUAAAUAACUUUCCUCAUUUAACUCCAUCUUUGCGUGUUAACCUAACAAGAUUGGACAAUAAUGUAAACGUAAGUACACCAUCUAAAUCUACGGCUAUACCUGUUGAGAAAAAUACACUAAAAUCCUUUUCUAUUUGUAUCGAUAUGUACAUUCCUAUUACCACAUUACUACUGACAAUUGACAUAAAAUAGUGAGAUAUGCUUCAAGUAAUGCAUAAGAUAAAUAGUUGUUAAACCACUGCGUUUUUCUUAAAAGGUUAUGGGCCCAGAGCACCCAAAGGACACAGAGCAUCCAGAGCAAUAAAAAGGAAUUGAUGAAAAUAAGUAAAAUCCCAGGAAUUUGCGAGUUUUUCAAAAGUAAGAUUUUACUCUAGAGAUAACCAGAGACAGUAUACAAAUUAUCAAGGCUAUGAUAGAGGUAAUUUUCAUAGAGGUGCACUUCAUCAUUCCAAUUAUGCUCGAAACCAUGAAGAUGUAAACAAUGUACCAGAAGUGGACAGAAAAGUUUGUUUUCUAGGUGAAUCUAAAUCUAACACCCUAUUGGUGAAAAUAAAUAGAAUCCCAGGUAUUUGAAAAUUUUUCAAAAGUUUUACUCUAGAGGUAACCAGAGACAGUAUACAAGUUAUCAAGACCAUGAUAGGGAUGGUUUUCAUAGAGGUGCACUUCAACAUUCCAAUUAUGCUCGAAACCAUGAAGAUGUGAACAGUGUACCAGAAGUGGACAGAAAAGUUUGUUUCCUAGGUGAAUUUAAAUCUAACACCUCAUUAGUGAAAAUAAAUAGAAUCCCAGGAAUUUGUAAGUUUUUCAAAAUACAAAUUCUAGGUUUUACUCUAGAGGUAACCAGAGACAAUAUACAAGUUAUCAAGGCCAUGAUAGAAGUGGUUUUCAUAGAAGUGCACUUCAUCAUUCCAUUUAUGCUCGAAACCAUGAAGAUAUAAACAGUGUAUCAGAAGUAGACAGAAAAGUUUGUUUUCUAGGUGAAUCUAAAUCUGACUGUGAGGUAUCAAAAGAAAGUAAUUUAAAAUCUUAUAUUGAUUCUGGUUGUACCGAUCAUAUGGUUAAUGAAAAAUCUUAUUUCACUGAUAUAAUAACGUUAACAAAAUCUAUAAAAAUUGCUGUUGCUAAAAAUGAAGAUUUUCUAUUGGCCAUAGGUAUUGGUAA
rnacentral:lncRNA from 1 species